AUCGCGUGGACGAGAUGAGCACGCCACGCAGACCACCAGGACAGCGAUGAAGACGAGAGAGGAAGCAAUAUGCAGUAACGUUAUUUCAGCGAGUAGCAGACGGUCAAUAUCUGUGGUCAGUGAAGCAUGUUCCUGUGCAAUAUGCCAGCAAAGUUACUUUACUUUAAUGCAGCCUACCUA